AUUGAACGCUGGCGGCAGGCUUAACACAUGCAAGUCGAGCGGAGAUGAGGUGCUUGCACCUUAUCUUAGCGGUGGACGGGUGAGUAAUGCUUAGGAAUCUGCCUAUUAGUGGGGGACAACAUUCCGAAAGGAAUGCUAAUACCGCAUACGUCCUACGGGAGAAAGCAGGGGAUCUUCGGACAUUGCGCUAAUAGAUGAGCCUAAGUCGGAUUAGCUAGUUGGUGGGGUAAAGGCCUACCAAGGCGACUAUCUGUAGCGGGUCUGAAAGGAUGAUCCGCCACACUGGGACUGAGACACGGCCCACACUCCUACGGGAGGCAGCAGUGGGGAAUAUUGGACAAUGGGGGAAACCCUGAUCCAGCCAUGCCGCGUGUGUGAAGAAGGUCUUAUGGUUGUAAAGCUCUUUAGGCGAGGAGGAGGCUACUGAGACUAAUACUCUUGGAUAGUGGACGUUACUCGCAGAAUAAGCACCGGCUAUCUCUGUGCCAGCAGCCGCGGUAAUACAGAGGGUGCGAGCGUUAAUCGGAUUUACUGGGCGUAAAGCGUGCGUAGGCG
rnacentral:rRNA from 1 species